GAGAGAGAGAGGCGGUGAGCUGUAGUCUCACUUACGGAGGUGUGAUUCCACC
rnacentral:tRNA from 1 species